rnacentral:sRNA from 1 species
CCUCCAUGAUCUGCGGGCAGAUCAGGUGGACGUGACAGUCGAUGGCGCCCGCGGUGAGGAUGCGGCCGUUGCCUGCGAUGAUCUCGGUGGACGGUCCCACCACCAGGUCGGGAUGAACGCCGGACAUGAUGUCGGGGUUGCCGGCCUUGCCGAUGGCGGUGAUGCGGCCGUCACGAAUGCCGAUGUCGGCCUUGAUGAUUCCCCAGUAGUCGACGAUCACCGCUCCGGUGAUGACGGUGUCGGGGGCGCCGUCGGCCCUGGUUGCCCUCGAUUGGCCCAUGGACUCCCGAAG